rnacentral:misc_RNA from 1 species
AAGUCGUAACAAGGUUUCCGUAGGUGAACCUGAGGAAGGAUCCAUUAAUGAAAAUGUGGUUGCCGGGGGCCCCAUAAUCCCCGGCACUAACCUUCUUAUCCAUAACACCUGUGCACUGUUGGAUGCUUGCAUCCACUUUUAUACUAAACAAUUUGUAACAAAUGUAGCCUUAUUAUAAUUAAUAAAA